rnacentral:rRNA from 1 species
UACGUAGGGGGCGAGCGUUGUCCGGAUUUAUUGGGCGUAAAACGCUUGUAGGCGGCCACGCUGGCGUCGUGCGUGAAAUCUCCCGGCUUAACUGGGAGGGGUCGUGCGAUACGAGCGGGCUCUGGAGGCAGGUAGGGGGAAGCGGAAUUCCCCGGUGUAGUGGUGGAAUGCGUAGAUAUCGGGAGGAACACCAGUGGCGAAGGCGGCGAUCUGGGAAGAGUACUGACGCUGAGGUGCGAAAGCGUGGGGAGCAAACAGG